UGUUCACCAGCUAAGACUGGCAAACCAGCUUCCAUUGAAGAUAAAUGACUUCCUGUAACUUUGAAGCUCAAGUCAGCGGCGGUGUGUAUGUACAGUUAGC